AAAACUGUAGAACAACUAGUAUAUAAGCAAGUUUUGUUUCAUCACCAUUUCAUCAACACAAGCUAAAUAUAUAUUGUGAUUAAACAAGUAAUCAGUCAAAAGAUGGAAGGCAAAAGUGUUAUUCUAAGUGUGCUCAUAAUGAGUUUGGUCAUGACACAAAUUCAAGUGGAGGCAAAGAGUUGCUGCCCGUCUACGACUGCUAGAAAUAUCUAUAACGCUUGCCGUUUGGGGGGAGCCUCCCGACCAGUGUGUGCAUCACUCAGUGGAUGCAAAGUUGUUCCUGCUAAAUGUCCGAACGGAUAUCAUCAUGACAUUCUCCAAAACUCAGGUUAAGAUGAAUACUGCAAGUUGGGGUGUGUAUCUUCUGUUUGCGGUGCCAUGAACACACUUUAAAGCUCUGAUGUGAAUGAAAUUGUGAAUGGAGCUGUAGCACAAUGCACAAAGGCAUGUUCUACUUUAUGCACCAUGGGAUCUACAACUGAAGUUUAGACUGCCUAAACAACCAUAUCCAUGCAGUUACCACAUCCAAGUUUCAGAGUGUUAUUUUCCUCGUUUUCAAUAAUUGUGUCUAUGUGAGAAAAAAUGCUAGACUUUGGUGCUAGAAUUUGAAUAAGUUAUUUCCAGUUUGUUUCUGUGUUGUAGAUUGUACAUGACUUCUAUUAAAUAAAAAGUUUGGACACUAUAAUAUUUAUUAUUA